rnacentral:rRNA from 1 species
GCUUACGGCCACACCGCCUUUUGGUUCACGCCCGAUCUCGUUUGAUCUCGGAAGCUAAGAUAGGUUGGGCCUGGUUAGUACUUGGAUGGGGAGACCGCCUGGGAAUACCAGGUGCUGUAAACU